ACGAGGAGUUAAGAGUUCAUUCGGCUGUCCAGAUGUAUCCAAGUAUCCUGUGUUAUUUGGCAAUAAAUACAUCUGGGCAACUGACUGAACUUUUCGCUUUUCAU
rfam:Papio anubis isolate 1X1155 chromosome X, whole genome shotgun sequence.